ensembl:lncRNA
GGGAACACUGUGCACGGCAGGGGGAGAUGGUGUGGAGCUGGAAGGUGUAUCCUGCUGCUGCUGCCCGCAUGGGAUGGGGUUUGUGGGUGGUCAAAGUGCCCCCAGCCCCAGCGAGAGGAGCGUCAGAGAUCAAUGUCCAACCUGGCAUCAGCUGCAGCAACUUCAGGCGUGGCCGUUGCAGAGAGAGCCCAACCGAUGCUGCUGCUCUCACCAGCAGGUGGAACGGUGGAGGUGCAAAAUGGGAGGAGGAGCCCCUCCUGUCAGCCCCACUGGGGUCCGUGCACGUGGCUGAGUGCUCAGCGUGCUAAAACUGGGCCUUAUUGCAGCUUCAGAGCCUAUAGUAAUAAUAAUAAUAACUGAGACUUCGUGGUUUGGGUUGGGGGGCGAUGAGGAAAGGGUGUCAUGCUUAAUUUUUGCCUUUGCUUUUUUAAUGUUUGGAAUGAAACUCGGCCCCCCCAGCCCCGGUGCCCUGAGCUUCUCCCAGGCUGUGCCCUGGCUCACCACUGCAUGACCAGGAAGGAAAAGAUCCAACGCAGCACUGGCUGAGCCCAUGGCAGCCCCCACAGAGACGGGGGGAGGGUGAAGAUGGUUCCUCCAUCACUGUGGCUCUCAGGAGCAGAAAUUGCUUUUAUUCUCUCCAGCAGUGCUGUGAUUUGGGAACAGUGUGGCUCAGGAGCACCAGACCCACUGUGUGCACCAAGGGCUGCCCCUCCAACGUGUCUGCACACAUGCAGGUGGUGCUGGGUGUGAGGGCAUCGUGUUGUCCUCCCUGCUUUCCUCACCCCCACCCACUCCC